AAAGAGCUGCACUGGCGCUGUGAGGGGUGACUGAUGGAUGAUACACUUUCAAGUUGAGAGGCGGUUAGGGACAGCGUAAGCCUCCAAGGUAUUUUGGAAGCUAGGUUUCCAGGACCCUGAGGGGGCUAGCUGUUGUUAGGAAAGCGUCAUUUAUUACUGGUCAGUAAAACCUCAGUCACAGAUGCUUCAGAUGUAUACCAGUGGGCCAUAUAUGCUUCGAGCAUGAUUGCCAACAUGUAUCUUGAGGGGUAGAGAUAAAGAUUCCAAAGGAAUUUUUAUAUGUUAAAUUAGAUCUACAGGAUCCUAGAGGGGCGGGACAAUGUUAAGCUAAGACUGACUUUUGCCCUUAGCAAAGUGUCAACAUGGAGGCAGUCGAGUUUCCAGAGGUCACUCUGCCUGUCUCAAGGAAUUGUCAGUUGCUUUGCGAGAGCGUGCGCCAAAGAACAAAGGAGGGACUGAAAGUCUCUGCGUCACCUCAGGAAAUGUACAUGUGUUCCAAACAGACUACUUUUUGCCUUACGUGGGCAUAGGCGAAGUCUGGGUAAGGCUGUAACCUCCAUUGUACUCCGCCAAUGAGGAAUCAGGAGGGACUUGCACGCUAGGAAAUAAAUUGUUUGCUGUAACUACACCAGAUGUGCCCGUCCAUCACACACCCGCUCUUGCAAGAAUGUUGAUUAAAUCCUCGCUUCACUGUG